UAGGGAAUCUUCGGCAAUGGACGAAAGUCUGACCGAGCAACGCCGCGUGAGUGAAGAAGGUUUUCGGAUCGUAAAACUCUGUUGUUAGAGAAGAACAAGGGUGAGAGUAACUGUUCACCCCUUGACGGUAUACUAACCAGAAAGCCACGGCUAACUACGUGCCAG
rnacentral:rRNA from 1 species